UGAGUAAGCUGAGCGCAGCAGUCUGCCGCUGAUACUCAAACUGUGUUGCAUUCUCACGGCGUGUCUGUGUGUGUUACUGUCUUUGACGAUACAGUAGCUACACAUACCUGGGCUCAUCUACGUCUCCCAGUUUUACAUCAAAAAUCAUUCACGAGUGCGAGGAUUUUCAUUCCCGGAUAUUUGGAUAUUUGGAUGGAUAUUUUAUAAGGAGACGUUUGUUAACUGGACACGUGGGGAAUAAAGUGGAUUUGUUUCUGGAUUCGUGUGGAAAUAGAUUCGCUUAAGAUUCGGUGUGUUUAAUGCUUUCUGAAUAUAAUUAAAUGAUCGAUCUUUGGGAUACUGCUCACCGAAGACACAGACUUGUGGGACAAUUUAACCUGUGGAAUAAACUCACUUUAAAAGGAUAAAGGAUUGCCAGGAACACAAGAAUCAUCAUGACUGCGGAUCCACCCUGAUUUUGCCUCGUUCUUCUUGGAGAGAGGAAAGAGCCUGAUGUGGCUGUCAUCUGAGCUCGCAGCCAAAUGUCUUCACCAGAUCUCUGUCCGGACCCUCAAUGACGCUCUGUUUCAAUGCAAUGAUGAACUGAUUGGAUAUAAUCUUGAGCGGUGGACUCGAGAGAUGGCGAGCGAUCGGGAAACUCUACGGUACGCACUGAAGGGAAGGAUCGUCUUUCUCCUCAAGUAGGCAAUGACUUGAGUUGGAGGGUCUCUCUCCUCCUGUUACGACAUGGGACUAAAUCCAAACCAUGUGUCCUUACACCUGGUUCGCUGCUUUUUCCCACCUCCCACAUUAGCGGUCUGGACAGAUCCAUUUCACGGCCCCCUCUGUCAUGUAGCGUUCUCACUUUCGAAGCCCCACAUGAGCCUCUCAGUGGGACUCUGUCUUAAUUGGCUGGAACUUUCCCAUGUCCGGUCUCCAAAGGUGGCUCUUACCAUUGGAGGGCCCCCGUGUGAGGAGUGUGUGUUAUUGGGUAGUGUCUGAGGAGAGAUGUUGAAAAAAGGAACACUGUUGAAUCCUGCACAUCAAGAGGAUUGAUCAUCAGACAGUUCUUCACUGGUCACCCUGCACAACACACACACAAUUUCUCUUUUUGGAUUAAAAAUUUGACCCUUUUCUGCACAGCAUGGACAUCUUUUUUGAUUUUAAACCUACUUUUGGUCAGAGGUGUUUGAAGACAUUUUGUAAGCACCCUGUUGAAUUGUUGUCACUGUUGUCAGCCAUGGCACUGAUGAUAACAUUUCAUUACAUUUUUAUAUCUUCUUGUCUGCCUUUUUUGGUGGCAUUUCAUGACAGAUGUAUGAUUAUAUUGGACUAUUUGGAUUACAAACAUUUUUCAUUCUGUACGUUUUUCUUGUAAACCUGUUUUUGGAUAUUUUGGAUUAUCAUCGAUAUAAUAGACCCUUUUCAUAUUUCCGGGUUUUGAAUGCAGAAGUAAAGUAUAGGAGUGUAAACAGCACAGCUUGUGUACAGAGAUCAGUGGAAGACCUUUGCAAUUAUUACUUUUUAUGUUCCCAUUUGCUCCCAACAGGAAAAUAAAAAUCCACUUCUACGUUUCCACAACUUUCCACAAGAGGAAAAAAUGGAUUGCGACAUUCAGAAAAGAGAAACAUGCCAAAUUUCCACUCCCUCAGCAUCUGUGUUUGGUCAAAUAAUAUAAAGUACAGUGUUAUAAAUACACAUUAAAUAAUAAAAAAAAUAAAAAAACUUUGUUAGGUUUACCCUGCAAAAUUAAAGUGGAGAUACAUGCAUUGGAUCCUGCACUGAAUACAAAGAACUGAACUGGAACAACAAAACAUGGACUUGGCAAGUUUACCCAUUAUUCUCUCUUCCUGAAAGUAGCCGUUAUCAUUCUCUGUUGUGAUGCCUUCAUGCAGCUUCAACUGAACAAAACUGUGAAAAAGAUAUUAAAUGGUAAUAAUAAACACUAAUAUUUCUACUUAACCCUGACAUUUGUAAUAAUUGCACUGUUGGAAUGUCACCUGAAAUCAGGCCUUGAAUCUAUCAGCAUCUGUACACAAAAACAACAGCUCAGAACUGACUCUCACUGUAUAAACAGACUAAUUACUUCUGUUAGUCUUAUCUGACAUUGACUUACUAUAAUCAAUAUGUGUGUGUGGUAGACAUCCUGUUUAAACGCUGUCACCAUGAGGUUUAUCGAGCUGUGGUUUGGGCUCUUCCUGCUUAGCUGCAGUGAAUGCUGAGUAAUGCUGAGGUUGACAUUCACUUUAUCUGAAUUUUCUUUUCUCUUUUUUAUUUUUUUUAUAACAGAUUGGAAAUUCUGUGGAAUCACAGUUGUAAUUUCCUCGUUAGUGUGAAUUUCAGCCAGGAUAACAACUUUACAGAGUCAUACAGACGGAUGCAUCUGACAGGGGGCUGGGGGUGGUACCAUUGAGAUGGAGUGUCUUGCAAUUAAGUGGGAUGUUCUUACCCUCCGCUACUACCUGCUGUGGUGGGAUUUCACCCUCUGUUCAGAUCACGCUCCCCUGCAGUGGCUCCAUCACGUGAAGGAUACUAACGCGCGGAUCACCCAUUGGUAUCUGGCUCCUCAGCCCUUUAAAUUCGAGAUGAUCCACAGACCGGGGGCGCAGAAGGUUGUGGCUGACUUUCUCUCCAGAAAAGGGGGUAGGCAGGCCAGAUGUUGCCCCAGUCUGAGGUGGGGGUAUGUGGCAUGGGGGGGCAUGGUCAUAUGUCUGGUAGGGAAAACGGUUUAGGCUCGUCACCUGGGCUGUAAUUACUCUAACACCUAUCUCUCAUUAUAGUGAUGGCGGAGGGAGACCUUAUAAGGCAUGCCAGAGCUUCAGAAUGGGAGAGAGAGUGACCAGAAGGCACGAGAGAGAGUGACCAGUGAUUUAGAGUGUUCUAUUGAGUUUAUGAGUUUUUAUGUUAUUUGACGGUUACUGUCGAGUGUGCCUGUCAUUAAAGAAACUGACCUUGAACCUGUUUCGUUGUCUCCUGACUCCUCCAUUGCCCAUGAACUCAACAUUAUCACAAACAUUUUUACAAUAUCAUUGCUCACUAUUUGGCAAGUAUUAUUUGAAAAUCACCUUUUUUAUUCAUUUUGUUAUAACCGCAUAUACAAUUCCAAAAUAGUUGAGACAUUAUAAAAAAUGCUCUUUAAAAAAUGAUCUCAACUCGUCAAAUUGUUAUUAGUCUUAAAUUGCCCCUGUCUCAACUUAUUUGGAGCGUGUGCAAUCAUCUGAUUUUAAAUUACUGUACAUUUUCAAAAAACAAUGAAAUUGCACAAGAUAAAAUGUCAUAAAAUGUGUAGUUGUAGUGCUUUCAAUAUAGCAAAGGGUGAAAAUAAUUUACAAAUCACUCCUUGUUGUUUUUAUUAGCAUUUUUCAUACUGUCCCAACUUUUUCGGAAUAAGGGUUGUAAAUGAAUUAUAAUGCAUUUGUAAAUGACUUAUUAGUCGUUAAUUAACCCCUUUAUAAACCAUCAUCAGAUGUACAGUUAGCUAUCUAAACCUGUUGCCACACCUCCGCCAGUGCCUUCAGUCAUCAAGCUGGGAGCUACCCAUCUUAAAUGUUUCACUCUAUUAAUCCCGGAACAUCUCCUGGUGCUGGGGCAGUGGUCAAGGACGUCUCCCUGCCACACCCGCUGCUGGACACCGGACCCUUUCCAUUGCUUCUUGUUCUUGCAUUCCAUUCAGUACAUUCCUCUUUACAGGCCAUACCAUGCAGCCAGGGUUUGAUUACCCUGCCCACAAGAGCAGUCCUACCCUACAUCCAAGGCCUCUUCUCUGUUAGAAAAGACAAGCUAUGAACUAUCUGACUACACCUACCACCCCCAACAGAUUAAGUAGAAGAGCAAUGUGCGAAGCGAGUCAUGAAACUGCGUCAGCCACCCCUCUAAAGCCUAGCUUGGCAUGGUUUUGCUCCCCAACUCAAUCCCUCUCCAUAAACCCCCAGAUAAGAACCAAGUUGGUUAACAUAAAUAAUUCCUCUGCCCCAUACUACCUUACCAUAUUCAUACUUUCUCACUUUUGCACACCCCACUUUUGGUCCUUCCUUUUUAACCAGAGCCAGAAGAUUUUUUAAUAGGGCUGUUGCCCCUUAGACUUCAUUAUUAGUGUAUUACUGUGCACACAUGUUGCCUUUGCUUAAAUGAUAGUAAUGCAAUGUAAUCUGCAGCAGGCUAUUGAUGCUGUCUGUAGAGCUUUGUCAUUUAACUCUGAAUAUUCCUUUAAGAAUUCAUUCAAACAGAGACUGCUAAGUGACAUGCUAACCAGGUUAAGGAUCUGAUUGCUCUGCAAAUGCAGGGGUCUGUUUCUCUUCUCCUGGGGUAAUGAGGAUGCUCUCUGGCUCCCACGGUAGCUCCCUGUGCUCUGAUAAAUGGUGUCAGGGUCAGCCAGCAGGUCGAUAGCCAUGCUAUCUGUGUAAGCAGCACCCAUGUUUGCUGAUGGUGAUGGACCAUUAGCUGAUGGAGCUGUUUUUUCCUUCUUUUUCACAUAUAUUAAACUGAUGUGUAACAUGUUUGCACACUGCAGGAAGAGCAUGCACUAGUGGCUCAGAGUUUAAGGCAGGUUAAGGCACAGAGGAAUGUUGAUGUAGUUUUGAAGGGCUGCAUGUUUUAAUUGUAUUUCCUGAUUCAUGAUCAGAUACUGAACACAGCCAUCUCCACACUAAGGCCACACUAACUUGCAAAUCAAAGACAUUGCGAUUAUGAGAGGGGAAUCGCCGGCAAAUGGACGUUUCAAAUAGAAAGUGACGUGAAUGAUCGCCAUUGCACAUUCAGGCCUUUACAAUAGCAGGUUCUAAUCGACAAGCAAUUUUACCCCUGUAUGUUAAGUGGCACAAUGCACCUUUAAGACGGUUUGUCUUUCACCCUUCAUGAAUGAGAAGUAGUACUUUACAAGUUUGCAAAACGACAAGCAAACAAGCUCUCUAAUUGAGUGGAUUUAGAAAAGAAAACAGAUUUUUCUACAAGCUGCAGCAGCGAUGAUAAGUUUGUUGUUGAUUUGUUCAAAGAAAACAUUUGAGACACUGGACAAGUUGACUGGCAGUUUUAUCAGUUAUACACAGUCUGAGGGGUUAUUAGAAAGAUUAUAGUGUAAAAAAAUGUAGCAAAGCUACAUUUGCUUAUAAACAUUGUGUUAUGUACAUGGGCUGUUCUCACUGCUACCAUCAGGCAGGCGAUAUCGCAGCAUCAGGACGCGCACCAGCCGACUCCAUGAUAGCUUCUUCCCCCAAGCAAUCAGACUUUUGAACUCUUGAUCUCCCAUGAUCAAAAUACAUCAGCACUGCACUUUAUUACUCUUACUCUUAUAUCUCACACCAGACUGUCAUAAAUUAUAUUAUUAUUAUAUAUAUUCUCUCUUACCAACUUACUAUCAACCGACAGCCUGAAUGUCAAUACAGUACAAUACAGCCUACUGUACAUUCUAUAUAUACUACUAUAUAUACUUUUUUAUUUUUAUUGAAUAAUGUGUAUCUAUAUUGUGCGUAUUGUAUACUGUACAGUGUAUGUUAUUAUUUGUAUAUUGUUGUGUGUAAUUAUGUGUAUAUUAGACUUUAAUUGUCUUGUGUUAAUUUGAUGUUAUUGUAAAUUGGUACUGUCUCAUCACUGUCAUGACUGCUAUGUUGAUCGGAACUGCACCCAAGAAUUUCACACACCAUCGCACUUGUGUAUAUAGCUGUGUGACAAUAAAUGUGAUUUGAUUUGAUUUGACAUAUAUAACAACUGUUAAAAAAGAUGUGAAUUGAAACAAUCAUGAUUGUAUCUUAUUGCCAUGUACAUUAUGGAAGCCAAGGAGUGCCAUUUACAAAAGAAUGAAGGAAUAAAUUAUCAAUCUAUUAAUUUGAAAAUAAAAAUGUGAAUAAAUAAACCAAUUUAUAAAAGGACAA